GGCGGGCCGCAAGUGCCGCGACAGUCGAUCAUCGUAUGCUGUCGCGAGUGGCUUCUCCCCG
rnacentral:ncRNA from 1 species